AUAGACAAAAACAUCACAUACACGCACACACACACAUACAAUAAGUGAUCAUUUUACCUUUAACUCAUGCAUUUUAGCACUUGUCUUGAUUGAUCGUAUUGCAUUUAGAAGAACCAGAGUCUUGCAGCUUGAGCCCUAGAAUCACAGCUCGAGCAUUGAAAGGAAGUUUCAAGAAGAUUCAAAUUUUGUUUACGCAGCUAAAGCAGAGAACAUGGUGCCUUAGCAAUGCGAAGGAGACUUCACCAUGAAGUAAUCUGAAGCACCCAAUUCUAGAGCUCAAUCAUGGAGGAAACCCACCAUUGAAGGAAAGCUUCUGAGUUGAACAUUACAAAAAUGGUUUAAGCUAUGAAAAAACCUCCGUGGAAGGAAAGCUCACAA